AUGGGCCGGAGCCUGAGCCCGCUGCUCCGGCAGGAGCUGGAGAACCUGGACAAAGACGCCGACAGCCGCCGGAACGCCAUGAAGACGCUCAAGUCCUACGCCAAGCAGCUCGACUCCAAGUCCAUCCCCCACUUCCUCGCCGAGGUCUCCGACAACAAGCCCCCCGGCCUGCCCUCCGGCGAGUUCACCAUCUCGCUCUACGAGGUGCUCGCCAGGGUCCACGGCCGGAACAUCGUGCCGCAGAUCGGCAACAUCAUGUCCACCAUCACGCGCACGCUGUCCUCCAGCGGCGGCUCCUUCCCGCUGCACCAGGCGUGCUCCAAGGUGGUGCCGGCCAUAGCGCGGUACGGCAUCGACCCCUCGGCGCCCGAGGAGGAGAAGGCGCGCAUCAUCGCCUCCCUCUGCAAGCCCCUCUGCGGCGCGCUCAUGAGCGACCAGGACGGCGCGGCGUCGGGCGCCGCGCUCUGCCUCAAGGCGCUCGUCGAGUCGAGCAACUGGAGGUUUGCGUCCGGUGAGGCCGUCAACGAGGUCUGCCUGAAGGUCGCCGGGGCGAUGCACGACAGGUCAACCCGGUCCAAUGCGCACAUGGGCCUGGCAAUGGCGCUUGUCAAGCACAACGGCCUGAUUGCAGAGGCGUAUGCGAGGUCCCUUGUGCGGUCUGCCCUGCAGGUUCUUGACGGCGACGCCGCGGAGAGCAGCUCCCAGAAGCGGCUCUCGGCGAUCCAGAUGAUCAAUUUCUUCAUGAAGUUUGUCGACCCCAGGAGCAUAUCCUCGGAGCUUGGCAAGGUGGUGGAUGUCAUGGAGCAAUGCCAGAACGACCGCAUGCCGUUCGUCCGAGGCGCCGCGUUUGAGACGUCACAGACUGCCAAGAACAUUGCUGCGCAGAAGGGGUCGAGGCACGAGGUCACCACGAGCCCGAUGGUAGGCUCCAACUUCCAGAAGAGAAGAGAGAAAAGCCCAUGCAGGAGCCUCUGGAAUGCCAAGGGCAGCAGCCCUGCAAGCUCCACCAUGUCUGCUUCACCGGUUCAGUUCCAGUCCCCUGAAUCACAGGUGGUAGACUCAACCAUCAUGUAUGGCAGUAGUACGCUCACUGAAUCGCCCAUCUCGAUCGGGCAGUCUUCUUGCAAUUUCGAUCAGAGCCGGCGCGCAAACAGGAGGUUAUGGAGCAAUGAUGGUGUGGAUGUUUCUCUCAAGGAUGGCCUGUUCAUUAGGUUCUGCUCAAACGGCAAGUGCCUUGAAGAUGACUUGGGGGAGGUUUGUGACAGCGAAGUAACCGAUGCCGAUUUCGAGUGCACUGGCACAUUCACAGGAUUUGUUUCAGCUAGCCCCAACAACGCCUUAUCAAGAGAUGAGACCCCCGGUCCGCAGGCUUCUGAAAGGCCGAUCAGCAUUGAUGAUGUGAAGCUAUACACGACACCGAGAAAGCUUCUCCGAUCUCUCCAGAGUUCAUACGACUUCGACUCUGAUCGCCACAAGGAAAAAUCAAUUAUGAAGCUGAACUGCUCAUCAUCGUCAUCGUCGUCAUCAUCAUCACCACCAUCAGAUCAGGAACAUAAGGAACUAACAGAGUCAUCUGAGGAUAUGCAAUCUGAGCAUUCUGAGAGCAAGACCGAAGAGGGGAGCAAAGAGACUGAAACCGCUGCUGAUAGGCCUAGCGCUAAGGGUACUAUGGAGAUUAUCUGCAAUGAAGAUAAAUCAGGUCUGUCUAGUACUGAAGUUGAGAAUACAACCUGUGAAGAAUCCUCUGAGGUUGAAUUCAAGGAGCUGGAUGUUUGUGUGAAAAGAAGCAGAGGGAAGACCAGGAAGUUCAAGACAAUAUUCGGUUGUCUUUCGAGCAUAAUCAUUAUCGUUGUCGCAAUCAUCGCUGUGUUAAUUAGGAUAGAAGACAGUUCUGAGGAUUAUGUUGGUCUAGUCCCCACUUGA
rnacentral:rRNA from 1 species